AGGUCCUGGGCUGGCGCCGACUUUUUCUUCAGAAGGGUUGUUCAGAAAACAGAAGUUGCUGAUGCAAGAGAUACUGACAGUUGUCAUCCCCGGUGGGAUCUAUCACAAUUGGGUCACUGUGGGCUUUCCUACAGUUGUUCAUAAGUCAGAGCAAUAAUCACUUUGUUUAAAAACCCUUCUCCCGUGCCAAAAGGAGAAGUGAUGACAUUGUUGGCAACAUUUUAUGCAAUGAUAUUUUCAUUCAAAUAAAUUCAUGUUUGAACAUUUGUUUUUCCAUUUGUUUUCCCUUUUCGCUUGUUGCAUGAAAUUGGUGAUCACAAAAAACCCUAAAAAAAAGAAUAAAAGCAAUCUUUUCAUCUGCAUAACGAUUGUCUUGUUUGAUUUUCAAAGUGCUUUUCAUAUCAAAAUCUUUAUGCAGGUUGUUUCUUAAACCCAUUAAACAUAAUGAUCGGACGUCAUCUCCCAAUUUUGAAUUCCCUGUAUUCGAAGCGGACGAAGAUGAUGUUGAAGGGAUUCCUG
rnacentral:lncRNA from 1 species